GAAAACUGAGAUAUAUGGGACAUGUGAUGAGAGAUGUAUAUCUAAUACUCCAGGUCAUUAUGCAAGAAAAAGAUCUAUAGUAAGGAGACGUAACUCAUGGCUGAAGAACCUUAGGAACUGGUUUGGAUGUAAUAACAAUGAAUUAUUUAGAGCCGCGGUUUCAGAAAUAAAGAUCGCUCUGAUGACUGCCAACUUUUGAAGCGGAGACAGCACCUAGAGAAGGAGAUAAAAACACAAUUAAUGGAUAGUUUUGUGUCAUUUUUUAAUGUUUCCAUAUUUAUAAAUUUAAUUAACAAUAUUGUUUACUUUUUAAUUUUAUUCCCCUUUAUAAAAAAUACCUACAUAUAUACCUACAUAUAUUGUGUAAAAAUCAAAUAUACUAAAUUACUAAUUAGUUUAAUUCCACCAGCUUUUCACCUAUGACUAAGUACGAUUCUAGCAUCUGUCAGAAUCGUCAAUAAUUACAUGAAAUAAGUCUCGACACACCCAAUACAGUAACAAGAAUCUACAGGUCGAGCAAGUCUCGUAAAUUUCACGAUUGUGCGAGCCACGCUUCACGCAACCGUGUUUGCGUACUUGUGUUUCGAGUUGCGUGGUCGUGCGGAGUUAUAUUUACCAAAUUUAAAUCCCUUCCAACAUGCUGUCAAAAUUAAAUCAAUAUGUCAAUAUGGCUACUGGGUGUAAAAGAUAAAUCUUAUUCUAUCUGUUCUUAAUGAGUUUUAGAUAAUUUUAGUUGUAUUUCUUUGUAAUUUUGUGUUGUACAAAGAUUAAUUUAACAUUUUCUCUGGAAGUGUUAAUUUAGGAAGAUAAUAUGCUUCAUUGGUGUUGUGUUUUGAAGUGUGAAAUGCAAAGUAAUUGUGAUAAAGUCAAGAUAAAAUUCACUUUUAAACUGAACUAAAUAAGGUAUCUGAGAGACAACAAUGGUUAAAUGCAAUACAAUGUACAGGUUUUACUAGCGAAACGAAAAUUUUCCUGUCCUGUCUGCUGUAAUCAUUUUAUAUCUGGAAAACCAGCCGACUUAAUCGAUAAUAACAAUCUCCAGAUUGGGUUCCUUCAAUAAAUAUGGGCUAUAAACACAAUGAAAUAAGUUCCCCAAAAUCUAAAAUGGAGUGGUAUCAAAGGAGAAUUAAAGGAAAAAAUAUUCAUAUUGAAAUUAUUUAUAAGGCACUGGACUGUCUUAAAUUCUACAAUAAUACUAGAAUCAGCUGAGAGAAGUGGUCUACAAAAAACCAGGAAGGAAACGGAAUAUGUGGCUACGAAAGGCAAAAGAAAGGUUUACAAAGCAAAUGUGACACAUUUUUUUGAAAUAUUUAGGAAUAUCAGUAAAUUGCAUUAAAAGAAUGUAUGAAAAGAUUUUGUUCAAUAAAAAUGUUUAUAUUUA